rnacentral:sRNA from 1 species
UGUGAGGCUGACCUUCCAGGGACGUGCUCACUCCGGCAUCGAUGAUGCCAAGAAUCUGGGCAGUCUCAUUUGCAAGAUGUUUCGUGAUGGAGCCCCCUUUUCGAUCACCAUGGAUCUGACACCACAUAAGGAGCUCAACGAGAACCGUGGCUUCUGAGCUUAAGCGGUCAGCCAUCAGCCAUCAGCCAUCAGCCAUCAGCCAUUAGCCAUCCCAGCCAGAGCCAAAGCCCCCCAGCCAGAGCAUAAUAAUCCAAUUUUUUGUUGGACACUAAUGCUGACUAAGAGAUAGGCCCAAUUUAAACACAAAUAAAUAACGACUUGACAUUUGAAGUGCAUCGCCAUCGCAGCAAAGCCCCAGCACCUGCAUCUGGAUAUCAAAAGCCAGCAAGAAAACCACAACACUAAAAAUCCACUCAUUUAUUCUAUUGGGUGUAGAGAAUGAUUAUGAGUUUUGCAUUAUCUGAACACAAAUAAAUUAAAUUGAUGUGCAACGCAAUGACAGCCGAUCGCCUGCCAGCAGCCAUUGGCCAUCCCACCAAAGCAGAAUGAGCCAGAACACAAAAAAAGCCAUUUAUUUAUUUGAUUAUAUUUAAUACACUACAAUUCUGAAACCACACCAAAUAACAUGACAAGCCCAAAGACUCUUGCGAAAGGCGCCUCAAAA